rnacentral:rRNA from 1 species
GACGAACGCUGGCGGCGCGCUUAACACAUGCAAGUCGAACGGAAAGGCCUGCUUUCCCUUGUGGAUUGCGGGUACUCGAGUGGCGAACGGGUGAGUAACACGUGAGUGAUCUGCCCCCAACUUGGGUAUAAGCCUGGGAAACUGGGUCUAAUUCCCGAUAGGACUGCAGGGUGGUGCCUGUGGUGGAAAACGAUUUUCUAGUGGUUGGGGAUGAGCUCGCGGCCUAUCAGCUUGUUGGUGGGGUAAUGGCCUACCAAGGCGGCGACGGGUAGCCGGCCUGGGAGGGUGGACGGGCACAUUGGGACUGAGAUACGGCCCAGACUCCUACGGGAGGCAGCAGUGGGGAAUAUUACACAAUGGGCGGAAGCCUGAUGCAGCGACGCCGCGUGGGGGAUGACGGCCUUCGGGUUGUAAACUCCUUUCGACCGCGAGGAAGCCACCUGGUUGGAAGGGUGGUGACGGUAGUGGUAGAAGAAGCACCGGCUAACUACGUG